GAUGAACGCUGGCGGCGUGCCUAAUACAUGCAAGUCGAGCGAACAGACGAGGAGCUUGCUCCUCUGACGUUAGCGGCGGACGGGUGAGUAACACGUGGAUAACCUACCUAUAAGACUGGGAUAACUUCGGGAAACCGGAGCUAAUACCGGAUAAUAUAUUGAACCGCAUGGUUCAAUAGUGAAGGACGGUUUUGCUGUCACUUAUUGAUGGAUCCGCGCCGCAUUAGCUAGUUGGUAAGGUAACGGCUUACCAAGGCAACGAUGCGUAGCCGACCUGAGAGGGUGAUCGGCCACACUGGAACUGAGACACGGUCCAGACUCCUACGGGAGGCAGCAGUAGGGAAUCUUCCGCAAUGGGCGAAAGCCUGACGGAGCAACGCCGCGUGAGUGAUGAAGGUCUUCGGAUCGUAAAACUCUGUUAUUAGGGAAGAACAAAUGUGUAAGUAACUAUGCACGUCUUGACGGUACCUAAUCAGAAAGCCACGGCUAACUACGUG
rnacentral:rRNA from 1 species